GAAAUGCGAUAAGUAAUGUGAAUUGCAGAAUUCAGUGAAUCAUCGAAUCUUUGAACGCACCUUGCGCUCCUUGGUAUUCCGAGGAGCAUGCCUGUUUGAGUGUCAUGAAAUUCUCAACCUAACGAGUCUUUGCGGGCUCGGUAGGCUUGGACUUGGAGGUUCUUGUCGGCCUAACGGUCGGCUCCUCUUAAAUGCAUUAGCUCGGUUCGUUGCGGAUCGGCUCACGGUGUGAUAAUUGUCUACGCCGCGACCGUUGAAGCGUUUUGGCCGGCUUCUAAUCGUCUCGCUAGAGACACUACUCUUUAUGACCUUCUGACCUCAAAUCAGGCAGGACUACCCGCUGAACUUAA
rnacentral:rRNA from 1 species